rnacentral:rRNA from 1 species
UGGCAGACGGGUGAGUAACAUGUGGGUAUCUACCCUUUGGCCUGGAAUAACACGAGGAAACUUGUGCUAAUACCGGAUAAGUCUUUACGGAGAAAGCUUUAUGCACCAUUGGAUGAGCCUGCACUUGAUUAGUUUGUUGGUGGGGUAAUGGCCUACCAGGACUGUGAUCAAUAGCUGAUUUGAGAGGAUGAUCAGCCACAUUGGGACUGAGACACGGCCCAAACUCCUACGGGAGGCAGCAGUGGGGAAUCUUGCACAAUGGAGGAAACUCUGAUGCAGCAACGCCGCGUGGAGGAUGACGCAUUUCGGUGUGUAAACUCCUUUUAUAUGUCAAGAAAAUGACGGUAGCAUAUGAAUAAACACCGGCUAACUCCGUGCCAGCAGCCGCGGUAAUACGGAGGGUGCAAGCGUUAUUCGGAAUCACUGGGCGUAAAGGACGCGUAGGCGGGAUGCCAAGUCUGAUGUGAAAUCCUAUGGCUUAACCAUAGAACUGCAUUG